rnacentral:rRNA from 1 species
GAUGAACGCUGGCGGCGUGCCUAAUACAUGCAAGUCGAGCGAACAGAUGAGGAACUUGCUCCUCUGACGUUAGCGGCGGACGGGUGAGUAACACGUGGAGAACCUACCUAUAAGACUGGGAUAACUUCGGGAAACCGGAGCUAAUACCGGAUAAUAUAUUGAACCACAUGGUUCAAUAGUGAAAGAUGGUAUUGCUGUCACCUAUAGAUAGAUCCGCGCCGCAUUAGCUAGUUGUUAAGGUAACGGCUUACAAAGGCAACAAUGCGUAGCCGCCCUGAGGGGGGGACCGCCAACACGGGAACGGAGACACGGUCCAGACCCCUCGGGGAGGCAGCGUAAGGGAACCUUCCGCAUUGAGCGAAAUCCUGACGGAGCAACGCGGCGGGAUGGAUGAAGGUCUCCGGUUCGAAAACCUCGGUUAUAAGGGAAAAACAAAUGUGUAAGUAACUAUGCACGACUUGACGGUACCUACUCAGAAAGCCACGGCUAACUACGUG